GAUGAACGCUGGCGGCGUGCCUAAUACAUGCAAGUCGAGCGAACGGACGAGAAGCUUGCUUCUCUGAUGUUAGCGGCGGACGGGUGAGUAACACGUGGAUAACCUACCUAUAAGACUGGGAUAACUUCGGGAAACCGGAGCUAAUACCGGAUAAUAUUUUGAACCGCAUGGUUCAAAAGUGAAAGACGGUCUUGCUGUCACUUAUAGAUGGAUCCGCGCUGCAUUAGCUAGUUGGUAAGGUAACGGCUUACCAAGGCAACGAUGCGUAGCCGACCUGAGAGGGUGAUCGGCCACACUGGAACUGAGACACGGUCCAGACUCCUACGGGAGGCAGCAGUAGGGAAUCUUCCGCAAUGGGCGAAAGCCUGACGGAGCAACGCCGCGUGAGUGAUGAAGGUCUUCGGAUCGUAAUACUCUGUUAUUAGGGAAGAACAUAUGUGUAAGUAACUGUGCACAUCUUGACGGUACCUAAUCAGAAAGCCACGGCUAACUACGUG
rnacentral:rRNA from 1 species